UUUCAUCCAUGGUCAGCUCUGACGAGACCGGCUAAAAAAGAUCGAGGCUCCAGCGUGCCUAAAAUUCAUGCUCUCACUGCCUCCGUGAUGGCUAAUGCAGCCCUCCCGUGUGAAUAUUUCUCUGAGGUGAUGUCACAGGCCUUUCUUCCUAAAGUCAAUUUACCAAUAAUAUCAAUUCAAAGGUGUUGGUGUUCCUCACCAGCCGCAGGACCCCAGACAAGUUACUUAACUUCUUUAAAUCUGUUUCCUCAACUACACAAUGAGAACAAACAUAGGAUUAUUGAGUGGAUUAAAGGAGAGGACAUCUAGUAAAGUGCCUGCCCAGGUGCCUGCUGCGUGAACGGUGCUCGACUCGUGACAUGGCAACCACUGUAUCAGUCAAGAUUCAUCCAGCUACAGACUAUCCCCCACGAGAUGACAAAAUGGGUGCUGAGACAUCCUCCCAGCUGAGCAGCCACAGGAGAAAGAGAUACCAAGGGAAACCCCUGGAAUGAGAUUUCAUUGGCCUGGUUGGAUCUCAUGUGCAGCUAAUCGCUUGUUCUGGGCUGGAGGGCGCCAUACCCCCUUCUGAAUGGAACGGGACAGGGGCCCAGGCCUUUGACAGCGGCGGAGCUCAUCACCGUUCCAAGCAGGGCCGUGUCACUGGACAGAGCCAUGACCGCGGCAUGGGGUGCGGCGAGCAUCUUCAUCUCUGUAAAUGGGUAAUGUAACUCUCAUUUUAUGGCUGAGAACCAGAGCGGCCAAGCCAUUUCUCCUGAGGUGCGCGGUGCCGAGGCAGGUGGUAGGUCCCUGUGUGCACGGUGGAUGUCACCGGUGUCUAGGGUACAGCGGCACUCGAGGUCCGCCUAGCCAGCAGGGGGGAGCUGGGAGAAGCCACGGAGAUUUUAAACCGACACGUGCGAUAAAAAUAAGAAACAAAGGCCACUUUGAGAUUUUAUAAAACAUGUGAACAUGGGUCCUUGCCGCUCGCACCGUCGUCAUCACAUCCUUGAGAGCGAAGGAGGUUCUCACAUUUCCAUUUUACAGAAAACCAAACAAAAACUUUGAGAGCCUUCUAGCAUGCCCUGGGCUCCACAGCCGUCACAGAAUAACACUGGGGACCCAGUCCACCUAUUCUGGGGCCAAAUCCCACAUCAGUGUCAGUGUGCGUCAGUUCCGCGGGCAGCGCUGCGCCCCGAGAGUCCGCUCUCAGCUCGCACCCCUCGCUCCCGGAAGGUAUUAGAAACUCACAAGACUUCUUCCGGCUCCGCCCCACGCACCGCGGCUGCCCUCCCGCGAGACUGGUUACCUUCACGUCAGCAGCGCCUUGUCUGAAGACCUCACAGAUGGCAGCUGGAGGACGUGCACACAAGGGCCGGAGAGUUGUCAGCGUCUCUGAGUAGGAUUCCCGUGCCGAGUGAG